rnacentral:tRNA from 1 species
GGAGGCUUAGCUCAGUUGGGAGAGCAUCUGCCUUACAAGCAGAGGGUCACAGGUUCGAGUCCUGUAGCCUCCACCA